rnacentral:rRNA from 1 species
ACGAACCGUCCAAACGUUAUUCGGAAUCACUGGGCUUAAAGGGUGCGUAGGCGGCGCGGCAAGUUGGGUGUGAAAUACCUCGGCUCAACCGAGGAACUGCGCCCAAAACUGCCGUGCUCGAGGAAGAUAGAGGUGAGCGGAACUUAGGGUGGAGCGGUGAAAUGCGUUGAUAUCCUAAGGAACACCGGUGGCGAAAGCGGCUCACUGGAUCUUUUCUGACGCUGAGGCACGAAAGCUAGGGUAGCGAACGGGAUUAGAUACCCCGGUAGUCCUAGCCGUAAACGAUGAGCACUGGAUUGGAGGGUCCUCCAUAGCCUUCCAGUCGCAACGAAAGCGUUAAGUGCUCCGCCUGGGGAGUAUGGUCGCAAGGCUG